GCUAGAGAGUCGAGCCAUUUAAUUAGAUGCGCGAAUUCGAUGUAGUUUUGCUUUGUGAUUUUCUUCCCCUUUUCUUUAUCUAUGCUUGGUAUUUGGAAUAACUGCAAUAACUGUUGAAUAUUCAACCCUAGGCUAGAAAACAUGUUAUAUCUGCCUGGGAAUCUUCUGGUUGUUUUGCAGGUGAGGGUUUGGGUGCAUUGCAUUCUNCCUUCACACACACACAUAUUAUGCAUCUAUUGAGUGGGGCCCAAUACCCGGGUUUGAGCGUAACUUAGAAUUAGAGGAGUUGUGUAGCGGUGUCACUCUGGGAUGUACUUCCUGUUUGGCUAUCGUGAGAACUCCAGCUAGAGUCUGUUCUCUUCACUUGUGUCUCCACACCUAGUUGAUUACUCGACUGUUGUGGGGAUGCUGUGAAGGGGGCCAUAGCUCUAGUGACCUUUAAUCCUUAGGCUCAGGGAACUAUCCUGGUGAGAUUGCAUAUAGUUGACCUUAAAUCUAAAAUGUUGAACCUUCACUAGGGCACAAAGGGAGAUGUGUGCAGUCUUAUAACCCUCAUUUUUGCUUAAUAAAAUCAAGCACCUUAUACAUAU
rnacentral:lncRNA from 1 species